UUUAGAGAAUAGAAACCAGACCCAACAAUUACUGCCUAUUGUAUCUCAGGUUUUCAGAACCUGAAUGAUACUUUUUCUAAUAGCAGAGAAUAAACACAGUCAAGGAAAAAGCUGGAGGCUGGCAAGAUACCCAGCAACUGAUGGCCGGGAGAUAAGCCCAGUGAAUGGGUUCUGGAGGCUGGGAAGUCCAAGAGCAAGGUGCCAGUGGAUCUGGUCUACUUUCCCUGAUCGUUGGUUAAACUGUCAACGGUGGAAGGCUAAGACAUACAAUGACAAUACACAAUGAAGACCUCUCCCCCGGGAGCAUGAAUAGGAAGUUCUGUCUCAAGUCUGUGGAACUAUGUGGUAGUCAUAAAACUGAUUUUCAUCACAGUUAAAGGAGAUGGACAUUGAUACUCUUGGCUUCCACUUAAGAAACCUCUCAUAGUGGUUUCGGAGUCUUUCCCAGCCUUGCUGAAGACAAUGAGCAAACAGGAAAAUGGAAUCUGAAGGCAGUCAACUUAUUUCUGGAGCCAACAGCCCUUAUGUUUGUUCUACUUAAAUUUCCACGUCCACUUGACCCGAAUGUACUACCUUGAGACUCCUCCAUGCAAAAGAUUUGGAUGCUGCCAUGUACCCAGUAAACAUACAAGAGUGCCACCAA